AGUGCUCCUGCUGACCUUCCGUGUCUGCAGCCCGGCUUUGGACUGUGGAGAUGCCCUCAGCCUCUACUCAGUGGCUCCAGCCUCAUAUUUGCGUGCUAUACCUUUAACCUCAAGUCCUCUUGCUGCUAACUUAAGCUGCGACUGUCCAGGACCUGCACACACACACACAUGCACGCAUGCACACACACACACACAGAAGCCCCAGCUCCAGCCCCUCAGGAGGGGACUGCGUGGGAGGAAUGACUCCAGCAAGCCGGCAGCUGACCCGUCUCCUGCCUGCACGCCUCCCGCUGUGGUCCACUGCCGGUGGUCUUCAGCUCUCUCCUCGUCCCACCCCCAUGGUCUGCUGACAGCCCAGCUCAGUGCAUCCCUGCCAUCUCUGCUCUACCGCUGGUCCUCCCAACAACCAACUUACAGGUUUGGGGGCACACGUGAAGGUUUGACAUAUAGUAAACACAUGUCAUGGUGGUUUGUUGUACAGAUUAUUACAUCACCCAGGGUUUCACUCCCGUCACCCAGACUGGAGUACAAUGGUGCGAUCUCAGCUCACUGCAACCUCUGCCUCCUGGGCUUAAGCGAUUCUCCUGCCUUGGCCUCCCAAGUAGCUGGGAUUACAGGUGCCUGCCACCACUCCUGGCUAAUUUUUGUAUUUUUUGUAAAGGCGGAGUUUCUCCAUGUUGCCCAGGCUAGUCUCAAACUCCUGAGCUCAAGCAAUCCACCCGCCUCGGCCUCCCAAAUAAGUGGAAUUAUAGGUGUGAGCCACCACGCCGGCCCUGAUGUAUCAAUAUUAAAACAUUUUCUUCAGCCUA
rnacentral:lncRNA from 1 species